GAAACCGUGUGCUUACAAGUAGUCAGAGCCCGUUAAUGGGUGAUGGCGUGCCUUUUGUAGAAUGAACCGGCGAGUUACGAUUUGAUGCAAGGUUAAGCAGUAAAUGUGGAGCCGUAGCGAAAGCGAGUCUGAAUAGGGCGUUUAGUAUUUGGUCGUAGACCCGAAACCAGGUGAUCUACCCUUGGUCAGGUUGAAGUUCAGGUAACACUGAAUGGAGGACCGAACCGACUUACGUUGAAAAGUGAGCGGAUGAACUGAGGGUAGCGGAGAAAUUCCAAUCGAACCUGGAGAUAGCUGGUUCUCUCCGAAAUAGCUUUAGGGCUAGCCUCAAGUGAUGAUUAUUGGAGGUAGAGCACUGUUUGGACGAGGGGCCCCUCUCGGGUUACCGAAUUCAGACAAACUCCGAAUGCCAAUUAAUUUAACUUGGGAGUCAGAACAUGGGUGAUAAGGUCCGUGUUCGAAAGGGAAACAGCCCAGACCACCAGCUAAGGUCCCAAAAUAUAUGUUAAGUGGAAAAGGAUG
rnacentral:rRNA from 1 species